AGGAGGCAGCCAACCCACCCCCUCUCCCUCUAUAUAAAGGGGCUUGGCAGCCCACUCCCUCCUCACUUGCUCUCAUUUCCCACUCUCCACUCCUCUCCACUCCUCUCCUUUGCCUCAUUUCUUUUCACUCCCUACUAUUUCCUCCACUCCCUCACACUCUCCUCCUCCACUUCCCCACGAAAAUGGUGCUCCCCUUGCUCCCAUGGCCGGCCAUGGCCAUGGAAAGCCACCAAGAUGAAGCUCCCUUCCUCCCUCAAGCUCAUCCUCACCAUGAGAGCCUCCCCUCCAUCUUCUCCCCAACCUUAGAUGGUUUAAUCUCCUCUUCUUCUCCCUCCAUUGCUAAGAUUGGAUCUUGAUGCAGGUGCAUGUUGGUCCAAGCAUGGAGAAGGUUGAGCUAUCCUCAGAUCUGAAGUUCUUGAGCAAAGUUCGUCCAAAACCUUGCAGUAAUUUCUGUUUCUUGCUGUUUCAGAUUCUGAUCAAAAUCUGGUCAGAUCUGACUUUGUCGAAUUAAACCAGGAGCUUGGAGACGAAUUUUUGAAUGAAACCAACUGGGGGUACUUAGCUUGUGCCAUGGUGAUACCGAGAGAGGCAAUUGCUAAGUUGUGAUACUCUCAUACCUUUACUAGAUGCGAACAAUUCCGGAGAAGAAGAACAAGUGGAAUCGGAUGAGAAGAUUUUAUUUAUAAUGUUGGGAUUGUUAUAUUGAUGGAGUUGAAGAAGUACAGGGACAAAUAAGCCCG